rnacentral:rRNA from 1 species
UGGGUUUCCUUAGUAACGGCGAGUGAAGCGGUAAAAGCUCAAAUUUGAAAUCUGGUACUUUCAGUGCCCGAGUUGUAAUUUGUAGAAUUUGUCUUUGAUUAGGUCCUUGUCUAUGUUCCUUGGAACAGGACUCAUAGAGGGUGAGAAUCCCGUUUGGCGAGGAUACCUUUUCUCUGUAAGACUUUUUCGAAGAGUCGAGUUGUUUGGGAAUA